rnacentral:rRNA from 1 species
GUGGGGAAUAUUGCACAAUGGGCGAAAGCCUGAUGCAGCGACGCCGCGUGAGGGAUGGAGGCCUUCGGGUUGUAAACCUCUUUCGCUCAUGGUCAAGCCGCAACUGUGGGUUGUGGUGAGGGUAGUGGGUAAAGAAGCGCCGGCUAACUACGUGCCAGCAGCCGCGGUAAUACGUAGGGCGCGAGCGUUGUCCGGAAUUAUUGGGCGUAAAGGGCUUGUAGGCGGUUGGUCGCGUCUGCCGUGAAAUUCUCUGGCUUAACUGGGGGCGUGCGGUGGGUACGGGCUGACUUGAGUGCGGUAGGGGAGACUGGAACUCCUGGUGUAGCGGUGGAAUGCGCAGAUAUCAGGAAGAACACCGGUGGCGAAGGCGGGUCUCUGGGCCGUUACUGACGCUGAGGAGCGAAAGCGUGGGGAGCGAACAGGAUUAGAUACCCCGGUAGUCC